CUAGCCUGGGUUAAUGAGAGCUAGCUUCAUUUACCCAUUCUCAGAUCGGCCAUUAUUCCACCUUCACAUUUGUAGAGAAGAGUGACUUGGUCAGUGAGGAUUAAAGAUUUAGGUAAAUUUGGUACCUAGGAUUACGAUGUAUAACUGUUGUUGGUACACAGUCUCUCUCUCUUUCUCUCUCUCUCGCUGUUUCUCUCUACUGACAAAUCUCUCAGCACCAACCAAUCCUCAAAUCCAUUACCCAUUCAACCCUUUCACUUCUUCCUCUACAAGUAUUUAUACCCAUCAAAGCUUCAAAGCUCAAGCAUCUGUUUUUCUUCUCUACUCUUCCUUUGAGUUUCUUUUCUUUAGCGUUUUAGGUUUUCAUGGGUAGUGGGUUCUAAAAUUUAUUCUUCCAUGUUCUCUCCAAUUCUUUUUUAGAGUCUUCGGUAAUCGAUACUUGUAAGUUUAUGCAUAGAAUAACAGUAGAUUCUUCACCUGUUUCAUACAUCUAGACAUGGGCUUAAACAUUUUAAAGCUUGCUUUUUUUUUUCUUUUUUAAUUGAUGUAUUUGGCUUUGCUUUUUAUUCCCCUUUACUUUUUCUCUCAUGGGAUGAGAUUUAGGGUUAGGGUUAACCAACUCUUCGCUCUUUCUUCUCCCUUUUAUCUUCUUUUUGCAUGGCCAGUUGAUGAUGCUGAUUGCUAAGAUCUUGAGAAACAUUACACCAGUCACUGUUUGCUGAUGGAGCAUCAUCAAGAUUCACACACUUUAUCCAGGGCUAGUGGAGUAGAAGUUUAUGGUGGCUUUUCUUGGUCGCUUUUGCUUCAAUCCAAACGGCCCUUUGAUAUGGGAAUCUUGAUGAUGCUGCAGCGGCAAUAAAUGGCUAAUUUUAUCUCCACUUUCAGCACAGAUUAUACCCACAAAGAGAUCGAUAUCGAUACCAGCUCCCAAAGAUGAAGGUGAAAGAAGUCAUUAAAUAUGUAUACAACAGAAGGUUGAUUAAUAGUCCAUACAGUGUUCUCUUUGAAGGAAAAUUAUUCAGAUGAAAACCAUGAAAUUCUUGUUUUGGUUGCGACUCAAAUCUCAUGCCAAAGAUAUCAACGGACCAGAUGCUAUAGUUAGGAACUUGUUAUAAGAUUGAUAGGAAUAUAGUAUGACUUAUUCUUUUCGCAGAAAUUAAUGUUAUUGAUUUUAUAAUCAUUGAAAAUUUUAUUUAUAAAAUUUUUUUACC